AUACAGAGGGUGCGAGCGUUAAUCGGAAUUACUGGGCGUAAAGCGCGCGUAGGCGGUUCGGCAAGUCGGGUGUGAAAUCCCCGGGCUCAACCUGGGAAUUGCAUCCGAAACUGCCGGGCUAGAGUGUGGUAGAGGGAAGCGGAAUUCCGCAUGUAGCGGUGAAAUGCGUAGAUAUGCGGAGGAACACCAGUGGCGAAGGCGGCUUCCUGGACCAACACUGACGCUGAGGUGCGAAAGCGUGGGGAGCAAACAGGGUUAGAAACCCUAGUAGUCC
rnacentral:rRNA from 1 species